UACGUAGGGUGCAAGCGUUUGUCCGGAAUUAUUGGGCGUAAAGAGCUUGUAGGCGGUUUGUCGCGUCUGCUGUGAAAUUUCGGGGCUCAACCCCGAACUUGCAGUGGGUACGGGCAGACUAGAGUGUGGUAGGGGAGACUGGAAUUCCUGGUGAGCGGUGAAAUGCGCAGAUAUCAGGAGGAACACCGAUGGCGAAGGCAGGUCUCUGGGCCAUAACUGACGCUGAGAAGCGAAAGCAUGGGGAGCGAACAGG
rnacentral:rRNA from 1 species